GAUGGGACCCCACAACAGACGCAUUUUCCUGAAGAUUUUCUUUCUCAAUCACUUUUAGAACAGCCAGCCCUGCAGCAGUACACACGGGAUUCCCCCCGAAUGUGUUGAAGUAACUUCGACGAGUCAAUAUUUCAGCAAUCUCAGGUGUUGUCACCACAGCACCAAGAGGAAUACCAUUCCCAAUACCCUUUGCCAUUGUCACUAUGUCAGGAACAACACCCUGGGCUUCAAAUCCCCAAAAAUGACUUCCAGUACGAGCAAAUCCAGCUUGAACCUCAUCGGCAAUACAAAGGCCUCCUGCUUUUUUAAUGCUUGUAUAAGCAGCAGGCAAGUAACCUGGGGCCAAUUCUACAAUUCCGCCCACUCCCUGUAUAGCUUCAGAUAUAAUUCCCCUUAGAAUGCUUAUACAAGUCCAACAAGAAGUCAAUUUAAGGGAGAUGGAAGUCCACAAAGAUCAUAAUUACCUGUAUAGCUUCAGAUAUAAAUCCAGCA
rnacentral:misc_RNA from 1 species